UCAGUAGGCGGCCAACUAAGUCCGACGUGAAAUCCCAAAGCUUAACUUUGGAACUGCGUCGGAUACUGGAUGGCUUGAAUUCGGGAGAGGGAUGCAGAAUUCCAGGUGUAGCGGUGAAAUGCGUAGAUAUCUGGAGGAAUACCGGUGGCGAAGGCGGCAUCCUGGACCGACAUUGACGCUGAACGACGAAAGCUAGGGGAGCAAACG
rnacentral:rRNA from 1 species